GUCCCAAGAAUUUCCAGUCCACAAAACUUCUGAGCUAGAUGUUAAUAUAAAAAUACUAAUACUGGUAAUUCUUCUUAAAGUCUUAAUAAUUGCGUUAUUUUUCUGGUGUAUGCAAGUCAAUGAUUUAAAAUUACUUAAAUCUCAGCAAACAGAUUUGAAGAAACCACCAAUAUCAGAAAAUACCAUAUCUCUUGUUAAACUCAAAUCCAACAAUUAAUUGCAUUGCAAAAACAAAAAGCAUAUAUAAUUAAAAAAAAUGUUUCAUAUUGAAUGGAGUUGUUCGUUAAUUGUCGUUUUGCUGUUAUUUAAAUUGCUACUGAUUGCUGCUGUUUCCUACUCAAUAUAUCGAUGGUAUUGGAGGCAUGAUGCAACUACUCAACAGCAGCAAAAUUAAUUGUUAUAAAAAGCAUUUUGUGGUGUGAUAGAAAAGGCUCUUCUAUGAGAACAGAUGAUAAUGAAGGGUGUUUUGUAACGACAAAGGAAUUUAUUGUUUUCUUUAGUCACGCAACUCUUAACUGUGGAGGAGUAAGAAGACAUAAAGACAAUGAAAGAAAGUUUCAAUUAAAUUGAAUGAUGUACAUUUAAUUAAAUUAAAAUUUCUAUGAAUAUUAAUAACUAACAAUUUGUUAAAAUCAAAAUACAUGCUGUGAUUUGUAUAUUUUUUGUGCUACAAAAUAUGUUCUCUUA